rnacentral:lncRNA from 1 species
CUAUAUACAGGGGGUACCGGUACAGAGUCAAUGUGGAGGCUUUAUACAGGGGGUACCGUACAGAGUCAAUGUGGAGGCUUUAUACAGGGGGUACCGUACAGAGUCAAUGUGGAGGCUAUAUACAGGGUAUUACGGUACAGAGUCAAUGUGGAGGCUAUAUACAGGGUAUUACGGUACAGAGUCAAUGUGGAGGCUAUAUACAGGGGGUACCGGUACAGAGUCAAUGUGGAGGCUAUAUACAGGGGGUACCGGUACAGAGUCAAUGUGGAGGCUAUAUACAGGGGGUACCGGUACAGAGUCAAUGUGGAGGCUAUAUACAGGGGGUACCGGUACAGAGUCAAUGUGGAGGCUAUAUACAGGGUAUUACGGUACAGAGUCAAUGUGGAGGCUAUAUACAGGGGGUACCGGUACAGAGUCAAUGUGGAGGCUAUAUACAGGAGGUACCGGUACAGAGUCAAUGUGGAGGCUAUAUACAGGGGUUACCGGUACAGAGUCAAUGUGGAGGCUAUAUACAGGGGGUACCGGUACAGAGUCAAUGUGGAGGCUAUAUACAGGGGGUACCGGUACAGAGUCAAUGUGGAGGCUAUAUACAGGGGGUACCGGUACAGAGUCAAUGUGGAGGCUAUAUACAGGAGUUACCGGUACAGAGUCAAUGUGGAGGCUAUAUACAGGGGGGUACCGGU